AAUUGAUAAGGUUCAUUAGAACACCAAAGCCCCUAACUAUGGCCGUAGUUAAGGGCUUUUUUGACGUAUCUUAGCGAUUUAACGGGUGUUUAUAGGCUAGUCACUCGGUCUACUCCUUACUAUCUAGCCAUCUGCAGACGAAAUACAAGAUAAUUCCAGCUAUAACAUCCGCUAUAAUAGUAAGAGCGAGCUCUAUGAUAAGGCUCAUUAGUUUCACCUCCUCUCACGAACCCAUAGGAACGUAAUCGGUAACCGAUGACAAAAAUAGUAUACCACAAUACAUUUAGAUCAUCAAGGUCACUUAAUUCUUGAAAUAUAGGGUCUAGGCGACAAAGUCUUUAAAAUCAAAAAAACGCAUAAUAUCAGGUGUGCAAAAACUUGAUACUAUGCGUUUUAUUG
rnacentral:sRNA from 1 species